CUUUAUAACUGUAAACUUUCACCCAGAGCAUACCCGCAUAGCACGUAAUAAACCUUACCAGAACACUUUGGCAUGUUUGCUAACUAUAUUUUCACAAAUAUUAAAUAGAUUUUUCUCAGAUGAUGUUUCUGAAGAAACUGCCUGGCCCAGCUCUGGAUAAGCUGCCUGGAAUUCUGGAUAAGAUCCAGAAGAUCAAGACAACCCCAGCAAUUACUAACAGAAAUCCAGCAGCAGCAGCAGAAAUCAACACCAUCAGGGAGGCUAAAAUGAUAAAUAAAAGAUUAUGAAAAUUUGAUCUAUAGAGCUCUAUAAAUAAACACAUUUACCACUACUGUACCUUCA